GGAAAACAAUAUUUUAUGCUUUUUAUCAAUGAUUUUAGAUGUUAAUCACUCAGAUCCACUAGAUUUCAAAUCUACGCCAAUGAAUUUACAAAGUAAAUCAGCAGCUCACACAUUAUUUCAGUUUAUAUUGUUUGAACAGAGGAAUCAAGCCUAAGCCAAACAGAAAAACUAUAUGUGAGUUUGACAAGAUUCCAAACAAUCAAUUAAGAAGAAAAAUGAGCGGUAGAUGUUGGCAUCUAGGUGGACAAAGAUAACUGCAUCAAUGAUCAUAAAUCAACUAUUCAGUAUGAGUACCAUGUGUAGAGUGUAGAUAGACAUAUGUUUCGUUUGAUUCAAAGAGUAUAUUAAUUUUAAGUAUUUUGCAUCCAAGCCUUAAUCAUAAAUGGGAAAUGACAUUAAGAAACACCAAAAGAAAUGAUAUCAAGAGUUGGGUAUUGGGUCUAGUAGUAUGAUUCACUUAGGUUGUGAGAGGUCCCGAGUUUAAUUCUCAAAAUGCCCCAUUUGAUUCAGAAAAUAAGCAUUCCAUAUAGUUUUUACUUCUCAUGCUAGAUUGUAGCUCAGAAACAGGCAUCAAAUCAAUUGUAAUGGGACAACAUGAAAACUUCUAGAGAAUUCACUAAGCAUACUUUUUUCCAUAAAAAAUAAAUUAUUGUUAGUCAAUAAAAUGAGAAUCUGGUAUUCAGAUUAAGAUUGCAAACUUUGGAUCAUACCUGUAUCUAGCUCCAUU
rnacentral:misc_RNA from 1 species